rnacentral:misc_RNA from 1 species
UCCGAGUUGACCCCGGCAGUCUCCCAUGAGUCCCCGCCAUUACGCGCUGGCAACAUGGAACGAGGGUUGCGCUCGUUGCGGGACUUAACCCAACAUCUCACGACACGAGCUGACGACAGCCAUGCACCACCUGUCACGGGCCCUUACGGACGCUGUAUUUCUACAGCUUUUCCCGUGAUGUCAAACCCAGGUAAGGUUCUUCGGGUUGCAUCGAAUUAAGCCGCAUGCUCCGCCGCUUGUGCGGGGACCCGUCAAUUCCUUUGAGUUUUAAUCUUGCGACCGUACUCCCCAGGCGGAAUGCUUAAAGCGUUAGCUGCGCCACUGACGAGCAAGCUCGCCAACGGCUAGCAUUCAUCGUUUACAGCGUGGACUAC